UACGGAGGGUGCAAGCGUUAAUCGGAAUUACUGGGCGUAAAGCGCACGUAGGCGGAUCUUUAAGUCAGGGGUGAAAUCCCGAGGCUCAACCUCGGAACUGCCUUUGAUACUGGGGAUCUCGAGUCCGGGAGAGGUGAGUGGAACUGCGAGUGUAGAGGUGAAAUUCGUAGAUAUUCGCAAGAACACCAGUGGCGAAGGCGGCUCACUGGCCCGGAACUGACGCUGAGGUGCGAAAGCGUGGGGAGCAAACAGG
rnacentral:rRNA from 1 species